rnacentral:rRNA from 1 species
GAUGAACGCUAGCUACAGGCUUAACACAUGCAAGUCGAGGGGCAGCAGGAUCUAGCAAUAGAUUGCUGGCGACCGGCGCACGGGUGAGUAACACGUAUCCAACCUGCCGAUAACUCGGGGAUAGCCUUUCGAAAGAAAGAUUAAUACCCGAUGGUAUAAUCAGACCGCAUGGUCUUGUUAUUAAAGAAUUUCGGUUAUCGAUGGGGAUGCGUUCCAUUAGGCAGUUGGUGAGGUAACGGCUCACCAAACCUUCGAUGGAUAGGGGUUCUGAGAGGAAGGUCCCCCAUAUUGGAACUGAGACACGGUCCAAACUCCUACGGGAGGCAGCAGUGAGGAAUAUUGGUCAAUGGGCGCAGGCCUGAACCAGCCAAGUAGCGUGAAGGAUGACUGCCCUAUGGGUUGUAAACUUCUUUUAUAUGGGAAUAAAGUUUUCCACGUGUGGAAUUUUGUAUGUACCAUAUGAAUAAGGAUCGGCUAACUCCGUGCCAGCAGCCGCGGUAAUACGGAGGAUCCGAGCGUUAUCCGGAUUUAUUGGGUUUAAAGGGAGCGUAGGUGGACAGUUAAGUCAGUUGUGAAAGUUUGCGGCUCAACCGUAAAAUUGCAGUUGAUACUGGCUGUCUUGAGUACAGUAGAGGUGGGCGGAAUUCGUGGUGUAGCGGUGAAAUGCUUAGAUAUCACGAAGAACUCCGAUUGCGAAGGCAGCUCACUGGACUGCAACUGACACUGAUGCUCGAAAGUGUGGGUACCAAACAGG